rnacentral:tRNA from 1 species
GACGCGAACAGUUUGGCCUUCGAGGACUCGGUGGCGAAGGGCUGCCCCCGGUCGACGAGGUCGGCGACCCGCCAGGUGAGCAGCCUGGCCGCGUCC